UGUGUGUUAGUGUAGUAGGUGUGUGUUAGUGUAGUAGGUGUGUGUUAGUGUAAUAGGUGUGUGUUAGUGUAGUAGGUGUGUGUUAGUGUAAUAGGUGUGUGUUAGUGUAAUAGGUGUGUGUUAGUGUAGUAGGUGUGUGUUAGUGUAGUAGGUGUGUGUUAGUGUAAUAGGUGUGUGUUAGUGUAAUAAAAGUGUGUUAGUGUAACAAAUGUAUGUCGAUUAUUUCCACUGCUUUUGGUGUUUGUUUUUUUGUUUUUU